rnacentral:rRNA from 1 species
UGACCUCAAAUCAGGUGGGACUACCCGCUGAACUUAAGCAUAUCAAUAAGCGGAGGAAAAGAAACUAACAAGGAUUCCCCUAGUAACUGCGAGUGAAGCGGGAAAAGCUCAAAUUUAAAAUCUGGCGGUCUUCUGGCCGUCCGAGUUGUAGUCUGGAGAAGCGUUUUCCGCGUUUGGACCGUGUACAAGUUUCCUGGAACGGAGCGUCAUAGAGG